AAAUGGGAAGUUCAAUAUCUGAAUUCAGAAAAAACAACAAAAAUCCAAGAGUGCAUCCCAAAGCCGGAGCUUGCGUUGGAGAAAAAAAUGGAAAAAUAUUCAAUGUAGUGAACCAAUUACUUAGUGGACAUACUCGCUUAAAGGCUCACUGGUCCAAGAUUACAAACAGCGAAGAUGUGGAGUGUGAAGCAUGUAGAACAUCAGAAACUAUAAAACACUUCAUAUUUGACUGUUCAAAAUACUCACAAGAAAGAUCAAGUCUUCAAUACAGAACUGAAGAAAUAUUACAUAGAAAUAAUAUAUCAUGUUCUGAUAUUACACUGGCAACUUUAGUUGGAGAGAUACCGGACAUUACUUUACAUGCAAAAGAAGAACUGUUCAAUUCAUUUGGCAAAUUCAUCAUGGAAACAAACAGACUUUAGAUGUAAAUGACAUAAAGUGUAAAAAAGUAUCAAGUGAAAAUGCAACAAGAGAAAUUUUUGUACAUAGAUGAAAACGACUUCAACAGUCGUCAAAGCACAACGAGACCAUAGGCGACAACGACGCCAUAAUUAGAUUCAACAACAACAACAACAUAAUAAUGGAUCAUACUUAUAUAAAAGGGGAGAGAGUGUCUGGGUUUCAAGUGAUCGGGAGUAGGUCUGGCCCAGAUCACAUAUACAGUUCCUGUGCCCCCAAAGACUCAAGUACCCCUCCGAAACGAGGAAGCAAGAGGGCAGUGUCAACUCCCACAGGACAAACACCUACACAUGAACAUAAAAGGAUUGAACUGGAUGAAAAAACCAGACACAACAAAUGGUCCCUCGAUGAGACAUCCUUUCUGAGAGAAUACAGUCAGACAUUACGAAAAGAUGGCGAGUCAGAAAACAGUUUCUGGAACAACUGCGCAAUUGCAAUGAACAACAUGUUUGGUGGAAAAAACAGAACAGGGAAGUCCUGCAAGAUGGCAGCCUGGCGGUUAAAUCUUUCUGGUACAUGUAACAGCACCAUGUGUACUUCUGUUAAUGAAGACUUUGUGGAUUUUACGCCGCUGUCAGAGACAAAAGGAAACAAUGUGGGAACCCAGACUGAUUUGUCUUUUAAUAAUAAGCAA